rnacentral:misc_RNA from 1 species
AACGCACAUUGCGCCCGCCAGCACUCUGGCGGGCAUGCCUGUCCGAGCGUCACUACACCACUCAGCACCCCCUCGGGGGCGCUGGCGUUGGGGACCGGGUGCCCUCCUCGGCGCCCGUCCCCCAAAUCCAGUGGCAGCCCGGCUCCCCCGCCCCUGCGCAGUAGCGAUGCGACGCAGCGGGCUGGGCGCCGGCGCUCGCCGUAAAACCCCCAACUCUCCAAAGUUGACCUCGGAUCAGGUAGGACUACCCGCUGAACUUAA